rnacentral:rRNA from 1 species
GACGAACGCUGGCGGCGUGCCUAAUACAUGCAAGUCGAGCGGACCAAUAGAAAAGCUUGCUUUUCUUGAGGUUAGCGGCGGACGGGUGAGUAACACGUGGGCAACCUACCUGUAAGACUGGGAUAACUUACGGAAACGUGAGCUAAUACCGGAUAGUUUCACUUCUCGCAUGAGAAGUGAAGGAAAGAUGGCUUUUAGCUAUCACUUACAGAUGGGCCCGCGGCGCAUUAGCUAGUUGGUGGGGUAAAGGCCUACCAAGGCAACGAUGCGUAGCCGACCUGAGAGGGUGAUCGGCCACACUGGGACUGAGACACGGCCCAGACUCCUACGGGAGGCAGCAGUAGGGAAUCUUCCGCAAUGGACGAAAGUCUGACGGAGCAACGCCGCGUGAGCGAAGAAGGUCUUCGGAUCGUAAAGCUCUGUUGUUAGGGAAGAACAAGUACCGGAGUAACUGUCGGUACCUUGACGGUACCUAACCAGAAAGCCACGGCUAACUACGUGCCAGCAGCCGCGGUAAUACGUAGGUGGCAAGCGUUGUCCGGAAUCAUUGGGCGU